GUGCUCACUUUGGUAGCCCAUAUACUAAAACUGGAACAAUACAAAGGAGAUUAGCAUGGCCCCUGUGCAAGGAUGACACACAAGUUCAUGAAUCAUUAAAAAAAAAA
rnacentral:snRNA from 1 species